AUUGAACGCUGGCGGCAGGCCUAACACAUGCAAGUCGAACGAGUGGCGGACGGGUGCGUAAUGUCUGGGAAACUGCCUGAUGGUGGGGGAUAACUACUGGAAACGGUAGCUAAUACCGCAUACCAUCGGAUGUGCCCAGGUGGGAUUAGCUAGUAGGUGGGUGAACGGCUCACAUAGGCGACGAUCCCUAGCUGGUCUGAAAGGAUGACCAGCCAAACUGGAAGUGAGGGACGGUCCGGGGUCCGACGGGAGGCAGCAGUGGGGAAUGUGGCACGAUGGGCGAAAGCCUGAUGCAGCCAUGCCGCGGGUGUGAGGAAGGCAUUCGGGUUGUAAAGCACUUUCAGCGUGGAGGCGUUACCCGCAGAAGAAGCACCGGCUAGCUCCGUGCCAGCAGCCGCGGUAAUUC
rnacentral:rRNA from 1 species